GGAACGAGGGAGUGUGCCCGAAAGGUGCACAAACCGAACUGGCGUAAGGGUGAGUAAUGCAUUGAUAACCUACCUUUGAGACGGGGAUAACAACCGUUCCCCCGAAGGGACUCCCCGAAAGGGUUGCUAAUACCCGGAUAAAACUCUUGGUGCCUUAGGUAUCGGGAGUCAAAGGUUUGGGGCCUGAAAGGUUCCAUAUGCUCAGAGAGGGGUCAAUGUCCUAUCAGUAGUUGGUAGGGUAAAGGCCUACCAAGGGCGAAGACGGGUAGCCGGCCUGAGAGGGUGGUCGGCCACAUUGGGACUGAGACACUGCCCAGACUCCUACGGGAGGCUGCAGUCGAGAAUCUUUCGCAAUGCCCGGAAGGGUGACGAAGCGACGCCGCGUGUGGGAAGAAGGCCUUCGGGUUGUAAACCACUGUCGGGAGUUAAGAAGUGUAAGGGGGGUGAAUAGUCCUCUUACUUGACGUUAGCUCCGGAGGAAGCCACGGCUAACUCUGUG
rnacentral:rRNA from 1 species